rnacentral:lncRNA from 1 species
GAUCGAAGGUUGGCAAGGUUUACAACAAUGAAUGGUUUUUCAAUUUCAGAGACAUAAGAGAGUCCCUCAUAGUCAUGGCCUCCGCUAAGGACUCUAAGAUGAAUUCCAAGCUGCUUUGAGCAAAUAACAGCAGCUUGGAUGUGAGAUUCCUGUAAUGGAGUGAAUAUAAACUCUGGUUUUGGUAGUGAAGGCGCUGUGAAUCUGAGGUUUUGAGCAGAAGAUUGCAGAAUAGUAGUGUAUGAAGAGUUUUUUGGAGUGUACAGUGUGGUGGAAAAGGGAAAGGAGAGUUCAGAAUUUUGUGAGAGACAUUGCAGAAAGCUAUCCUGAACUGGAAGUGAGAGUAGAAAUGAAGUAUGUAAAAAAAGAAAAACAAAAAAUAACAGGAUGGAAGAGCCAGAACAGGCCAUUUUGCUUGUUUUUUUUACUGCUGCUUAGGCCUGUGUUUCAAGAACUCUUAUAGAGAGCUGUGAUCUGUGUAUCAUUUGGUCACAACUCUAUUUAAAACUCUGUUUUCAAGGAACACAAACCCUCUAAAAUAGAUUUGCUUGUCCAUGACCAUAUAUACCGUUACAACUCUACUUAGAUUUGAUUUUUACUGCAUAACAAUUGUAGAAUGUUGACCACAUAGCUGAUUAAAACUCGAAUUAUAGUUAUUUAUUAACAUGUUCUAAUCACAUUUGGUUCAUCGAAUCUUGUAAUAAUUGACUUUUCCAAUAGCUCAUUUAGGCUAAUCGCUGUUACGAAACUUUACCUUCCUGGCAAUUCGACUCGAGAAGACGAGAAAUACUCUGGGCUGAGUUUCAAAAAAAUAAAAGGAAUUGACCCGACAAAAAUUCGUUAACAUUUAACAAAUUUUUUUUUUCAAAACAAUAUAGUUUUUAUUGUUUUAAAUAAGUGUUUUUCUUACACACUCAAUUUAUAACACGAACUUCUUGACCGUGUCUAGUGUCACAAUCCAAUUUUCAAACCCAUAAUUGAUAAGUCUACGCAAUAUGAUAACAUAAUUAACCUCAUAAUAUAAAUUGAUUAUCUUAAUACAAGAGUUAAUACAAAUAUCAUGGUUGUGGAGUACUAACUAGACAUAAAAAAAAAGUAUUAAUUACAACAAAAAAAAAAAAACAAGUUCUAAAGGUCCAACAAAAAUUACCUUCUAACAAACUAUAAGCUUGAAAAUGAUAAAUAAUGAGAUGAAUAAAUAACGUUCAAUACACGUACACGAAAAUAAUACAACAAUGAGAAAUAUAUAUACAAAAAUGGCUUAAAUGUUUUACUCUAAAAUAAGCCAUAACAAGAAUAUCAUAAGGUAAAGCUUGUAAAAAAAAAUACAAUGAGAAUGACACUCCAUACGUAUUGUGAGAAGAUCAAUUGUCACAGGUUGGUAACUUUCUCGGCCAAUUAAAGUUCAAAUACGAUGUGCACAAAGACUAACAUUACCUUGUUAGUAUGAGUAUUCUGACUCGCAUACCAUAAAUUAAUAUCAUAAUCAAACAGACAGAUUCAUAUCUGAAGGCUUAACUCAUGACAUAAACAAGAAAUAAAUGAUGAGUUAUCAAUUCAAAAGUAUAUAAUGGUUCAUAUCAAAAAUUUAAUUUCAAUAUAUGAUCAUACUUAAUCAUAAAUAAAUAACAAUAUACAAAUUACCAAGAAACACGAUCAAUUUCAUAUUAACAAUUCAAGUAUUUAUAUUGAUCCUCUAUCAUAUGAAAAAUUAUCUACUCACUUGAUUUCAAAGUAAAAAUAACAUAGAAGCAAAUACUGAAGGCAAUUCUAUUAAUGUUCUAAAAUCAAAUGAUUUUUUUAAAAUCUAAUUCAAGAAAAAACAAAUCAUAAAACUUGAUAAUAAUUAACUAAAUAAACUUUAAUUAUUCAUCAAACUAAUUUAUCUAAAAUUACAUUUAAGGUUCAAAAAGGAAUCUUAUCAGAUUUUUAAAGGUCAAGUUGUAUUUUUUUCAAAUUAAAAAAUCAAACUAAAAAUAUUAUAAAUUAAAUUUUAUCCAUAAUUUAUCUUUAAAUAUCCGGAACCUCCAAAGUCAUGGUUUACUUUUCCUACUCUAUUAUUAUUAUUAUUAUUAUAACAUAACAUCAGGUUUAAUAAACGAUAUAUAGGCCUAAUGUGAAUACGACGUGUUUGACCAGACCAUAGAGAUUUUUUUAAUGUUAGUGCCUAAACGUGACUUGUCUUUUUUUUUUUUUUUUGAUUAACGUGGGUGUCCGGGCCAGCUUGCGCGCACCUCGACUAAUCCCACGGGCCCUGAAGUUAACGACCAUGUAAGCCUCCAGUGGCCAUCAUAUGAGCAACCUAGGGAUUGAACCUGAGACCACAGAGGGAGCAAACCUCUUAAUCCCAAGUUUUUACCGCUGGGCCACCACCUAGAUGGUUAUCUUUGCUGGUGGAUAGAAAGAGACUUUAUCGAGAACAUGGAACACAAAAUCCAAGCAUAUCCACCGUAUAAUAUAAAGAAAGGACAAUAAAUAUUCAGACUUGGAAUCAUCGACAAUUUUUUUAUUAAGAAGAUCGACUCAUGAAAGAUUCUUCUAAAUAUCUAAUAAUUUAGCAUAUCAAUCUCCUAAACAGGUCUGAAAGUCAAUAUCUUUCUGAGAUCUCAUCAAUACCAUUGUAUGUUUUUCAACAAAUGUUAGAUAGAUUGAUACUUUUUCUGACAUUGUAUUUUUAUUUGUAUUUGAAUAUAUUUUCAAAAAAAUAUUUGACUUGAAAAAAUAUUAUAUUAUUUUUUUAAUAUUUUUUAAUGGUUUCAAAGUUGCUAAUAUAAAAACAAAUUCUAAAAAAAAUAAUUUUAUAAAUUUUCAAUCAUAAAAUAUUUUUUAAAAAUCUUACACCAGAAUAUUAAUCAGAUAAAAAUUCAAAAUUGAUUUGAACGCUCAAGAUCUCAUUUCUUUGAAAAAUGAUUUUAUCUAGAUGUAUAAUUUAUGAAAUUUGUUUUCAACUUUUCUAAUUAAAACCACAGUAAAUUUUGCAUUAGUAAUUUAAAAAAAAAAAACAUUUGUUCAACUUUAGUCUUCACUUGCAUAUAUGAGUUGGAUUUGUCUUUGAAAAAUCAUACUUGCCGAGUAAUCUUGCCGAGUAAUCUUUUUAUUACCGAGUUUCCCAAAUAAUUGUCGAGUAAUCUUUUUAUUACCACGUUGUUCAAAUGAAGAAUUUCAUAAAAUGGUAUCAAGAUUUCUAACAUCUUGCCAUUUGCUUUCUGGUCACAAUGCCUGAAAAAUAAACUAAACAUUCUAAAUUUUAAUCAUUAAAAUGGAAAUAAUUAUAGAGUUAAUAUAAAAUACAAAUAACAUUAGAAUUUCUUUAAAAAAAACAGGAAAAAAAAACAAGAAAAAUAUUUAUUUUUUCAAAGAAGCUCCAGCAUUAAUUUCUCAUGGAAAGUGGAAGAGGUGGGAUGCUCUGCUCAUGCCUGAAGAAGUUGUCAGGAUCAACUUUGGCCUUCACCAGCCAAUCUGUAGAAGUUAUCCUGGAAGUAUUUGGAACCCCAAACACUUGCUUCUUUAAGGCUUGUGUUGGUCUUCUUGUUCAUGCCCAAAUCAAGGUCCCUGUAGUUGACAUAUGCAGUCCUUGGUUGAACAUAUGGGGUCAUGUACUCAUAAACCUUCCUAACCCAAUCUAGAUGCUUUGCAGCAUUAUCUGAAGGGCUUGUCCAGAUGGUCAUGUAGUGGAUCAUGAACAGGUUGCCCUUCCUGUGAGAAAAAGGUGUCUGUUUUUCUGAGAUUUUGCUCAUCAUUCCUCCGUAAGGAGUCAAUGCUAUUUGAGGAAUCUCUUGUUCCAAUAACAUCUUACAUAAUUCCUCAAGUGUGGUUUCAGGAAUGAGCUGUUUCGCAAAGUCUGACUUGGCUUUGAAGGAACCCUUGUAUAAAUUCUUUCUUUCAAGUAGAAAUUCAGGUGUUGUAUCGUUGGAGUAUCCAGCUACAAAGAGCACAGAAUUGAUCCAGCUUGUUUCGAUACAAUCCUGUCUUGUCAAACCCAAUUCAGGGAAGCUGUCUUGCAUUACUUGGAGGAGUCUUUUGGCAUCACCAAGAAACAAGGAGAUGUAAGUGGUUGAUACUGUUCUUUUUCCUCCGUUACCAGCACCAGCCAAUUGUAAGUAGACUCUGAUGAAGAGAUCCUCGUCAAGUUUAUCAGCAACUUGUUGCCAUCUAUUAAGGAUUUUAAUAGCACCUUGUUCCAGGGUCUUAUUAAUCUGAAAAACAGUCACAGUUGAUGGAACUGGAACCAAUUUUACUUUCCAGGCAGUAAUGAUUCCAAAGCUGCCUCCUCCACCUCCUCUGAUUGCCCAGAAAAGAUCUUUCCCCAUGGCUUUUCUGUCAAGAACCCUUCCAUGAACAUCAACUAUGCGAGCGUCGAUCACAUUGUCGACUGCAAGGCCAUAUUUCCUCAACAUAGAGCCAUAAGCACCACCUGUGAUGUGCCCACCAAUACCAAGAGUGGUGACAAGACCAGCCGGGAAGCCACGAGUUUUGCUUUUCUCAGCAAUUCUAUAGUAAAGCUCACCAUUUGUAGCCCCCGCUUGAACCCAUGCGCUGUUAUCAUCGAUAUCGACACUAAUGGAUCGAAGGUUGUCAAGGUUUACAACAAUGAAUGGUUUUUCAAUUUCAGAGACAUAAGAGAGUCCCUCAUAGUCAUGGCCUCCGCUAAGAACUCUAAGAUGAAUUCCAAGCUGCUUUGAGCAAAUAACAGCAGCCUGGAUGUGAGAUUCCUGUAAUGGAGUGAAUAUAAACUCUGGUUUUGGCAGUGAAGGCGCUGUGAAUCUGAGGUUUUGAGCAGAAGAUUGCAGAAUAGUAGUGUAUGAAGAGUUUUUUGGAGUGUACAGUAUGGUGGAAAAGGGAAAGGAGAGUUCAGAAUUUUUUGAGAGACAUUGCAGAAAGCUAUCCUGAACUGGAAGUGAGAGUAGAAAUGAAGGAUGUAAAAAUAGAAAAACAAAAAGUAACAGAAUGGAAGAGCCAGAACAGGCCAUUUUGCUU